CAUGCAAGUCGAACGGUAACAGGUCUUCGGAUGCUGACGAGUGGCGAACGGGUGAGUAAUACAUCGGAACGUGCCCGAUCGUGGGGGAUAACAAGGCGAAAGCUUUGCUAAUACCGCAUACGAUCUACGGAUGAAAGCGGGGGAUCUUCGGACCUCGCGCGGACGGAGCGGCCGAUGGCAGAUUAGGUAGUUGGUGGGAUAAAAGCUUACCAAGCCGACGAUCUGUAGCUGGUCUGAGAGGAUGAUCAGCCACACUGGGACUGAGACACGGCCCAGACUCCUACGGGAGGUAGCAGUGGGGAAUUUUGGACAAUGGGCGAAAGCCUGAUCCAGCCAUGCCGCGUGCAGGAUGAAGGCCUUCGGGUUGUAAACUGCUUUUGUACGGAACGAAAAGCCUCUUUCUAAUAAAGAGGGGUCAUGACGGUACCGUAAGAAUAAGCACCGGCUAACUACGUGCCAGCAGCCGCGGUAAUACGUAGGGNGCAAGCGUUAA
rnacentral:rRNA from 1 species